AUACGGAGGAUGCGAGCGUUAUCCGGAUUUAUUGGGUUUAAAGGGAGCGUAGGUGGGAUAUUAAGUCAGAUGUGAAAGUUUGGGGCUCAACCUUAAAAUUGCAGUUGAUACUGGUUUCCUUGAGUACGGUACAGGUGGGCGGAAUUCGUGGGGUAGCGGUGAAAUGCUUAGAUAUCACGAAGAACUCCGAUCGCGAAGGCAGCUCACCGGGCCGGAACUGACACUGAUGCUCGAAAGUGCGGGUAUCAAACAGGAUUAGAUACCCUGGUAGUCCGCACAGUAAACGAUGAAUACUCGCUGUUUGCGAUACACUGUAAGCGGCCAAGCGAAAGCGUUAAGUAUUCCACCUGGGGAGUACGCCGGCAACGGUGAAACUCAAAUGAAUUGACAGGG
rnacentral:rRNA from 1 species